UACGUAGGGUGCGAGCGUUGUCCGGAAUUACUGGGCGUAAAGAGCUCGUAGGCGGUUUGUCGCGUCGUCCGUGAAAACUUGGGGCUCAACCCCAAGCUUGCGGGCGAUACGGGCAGACUUGAGUACUGCAGGGGAGACUGGAAUUCCUGGUGUAGCGGUGAAAUGCGCAGAUAUCAGGAGGAACACCGGUGGCGAAGGCGGGACUCUGGGCCGAUACUGACGCUGAGGAGCGAAAGCGUGGGGAGCGAACAGG
rnacentral:rRNA from 1 species